CCGGGUAUCUCGGGCUCCCCCCCACUAUCGUAUAUUUUUGUUCACAACUGCGUUAAGAAGGACUAGGACUAGGUCCCGGAGGUGCAACUGGGUCACACCGGAGUCGCAAGGAGAUUUCAUCAAUCCAUGUACUGUUGAUCUGUCCUGUGU
rnacentral:misc_RNA from 1 species